CCCAGCGUGCGGGGGCGGAGAGCGCUGCUCGGUCAGACAGAGCGGCGGCCGCUGGGACCCGCUCCCUCGCAAGGGCUGGGGAGGAGAGCCCCGAGUGGCCGGAUAAAUACGGGGGAGGAGAAGGGCGUCUCUCUCUCUCCCUCUCCCCACCUCCCUCCACCUCCUCCCUCCCCCCCGCCGCGGAGGGCGCGCUUGGAACUGCCUCUGUGUGUCCGGGCGCCCGGGGCGUCUCCGCGCCCUUCCGCGGUGCGGUGCGGUGCGCGCAGGCUGGGCGCGGGAGGCUGCUGCUGCUGCUGCUGAAGGUGAAGCUCUCGCUCUCCAAUUACUUUUCCCAAGAGAGAGAAGGAGGCAGCUGGAGGGGGAAGUCGUGCUGUGUGUGGAAGGCACACCAAUCAGAGAUGCUCUAACGGAGGGACUGCUGCAGGACGCGCCGGCUUCUCCUCCUUCCUCUGCCGGCGGGGCUGAAUCGGGACCACUCGCAGCUGGCGUAGGGGCCGGAGCCGUACUGGGCUGCAGGACUUACCCAUCUCCGCUUUUCCAUUAGCUCAACCAUACUUCGUCCUCUCUAUUUUUUUCUUUUUUUAAUACUCUGAAAUCGUGCACAAGAAGCACCCCAAGUCUCCUCUCCAUUCCCAGUUACUUUACCGUUCCUCUAGCGUCUCUUAGCCGGAUUCCUGGUGUAUUCCCAGAGAGGCGGGGUGAGCGAGCCGGGCCCCGCGGACGGCUGCUGCCCCAGCCGAGCCGAGCGGAGCCGAGCGGAGCGCGGCGCCGCUCCAUGCCCCGAGCGCUGGCGGGGCGCGGGGCGUGUGCCGGCGAUGCCCGGGCGGUAAGGCUGGAGCUCCCCCCGGACGGGAGGCGGCCGAUCGCUAGGCAUUUCUAGCGAGAAUCGGGACUGCAGGAUGAAUAAGAGAUACUUACAGAAAGCAACAAAAGGAAAACUGCUAAUAAUAAUAUUUGUUGUAACACUGUGGGGGAAAUUAGCAUCUGGGGCAAAUCAUCAUAAAGCUCACCAUGUUAAAACUGGGACCUGUGAAGUGGUGGCGCUUCACAGAUGCUGCAAUAAGAAUAAGAUAGAAGAAAGAUCACAGACAGUGAAGUGUUCCUGCUUCCCUGGGCAGGUAGCAGGUACCACCCGGGCAGCUCCUUCUUGUGUUGAUGCUUCGAUAGUGGAGCAGAAAUGGUGGUGCCACAUGCAACCAUGUCUUGAAGGGGAGGAAUGUAAAGUUCUUCCAGAUCGUAAGGGAUGGAGCUGUUCCUCUGGGAAUAAAGUGAAAACAACUAGGGCAAACGUGUAAAACUCUUCAAGUCCGAAUGGAGAAGUAGAGAAAGGAGGUUUCUGCUGUGCCUGAUGACAAUUUUUGUUUUUUCCACACACAAAAAAUAUUCUGGCUCCACGAUGGAGCACUAGUUGUGAUGAAUCCUAGUCUUGGUCGGAUUCUAAGGAAGGGCCAGAACGUUCGUUGAGGAAUAAAGAGUCAAACCACUCCAGAAAAUGUGUUCCAGCCCCGGUUUAUUGCUCACAGAGCAGCAGGUAACCCGAUAGCUAAAGACAAAUCAAGCCAGUCUCAAGGCUGAUAACAUUAAAUACAACACAUAGGAAUUUCAUUCAUCCAGGCAAUCCUUGAAGUGAAAUUUUAUACUGCUGGGGUGUAUCCUUCAGAAUCAAUUGUUUCAAUGAGAACCUGGCUUGCAAUCAGCCACGGCCUUGAGAUCAAAACUACUGGAAAGUUAUUUUGAACUUCUGUGUCACAAAUAUUUCAACUGAUUGAACUGUGUACACUUGUAGAAUUACACUUGCUGAGGAAUUUGCAGCUGUAAUCAUGAGCUAAUAUUCUAAAGGUGCAGAAAAGCAGCAAACUUUUGGGUUCUCCGUUGCAGAACAGCGGCUUUUCAUCUUGAAGUCAAACUCUGAAAUGUAUUGGAUCCUUCACUCUGAAAUGAUCCUUGGUCCACUGUUCAGAUUGCUGGUGGGACUGCACACGGCUUUAAUUAAAUUUCUGUUGCAGAAAUUGUCCUCAAGCAUGGCGCAGUUUUAGACAUUCUUAUUUGUGUUCUAAUCUUGCAGCUCUCAAAGGUACAUAUUUCAACAUCUUGAAGUUGCUUUGUUAUAGGAAUGGAAUUAUAUAUCCAUUGUUAAUAAUUAUUGUUGACAAGUAAUAGUUAUCUGAAUACAUCAGUCAUAUUAGAAUGUAUAGUCAGGUUGACAUGUUUCCCUAAGGCUAACCAACUACUGCAGCUUAACAGUUAAAGAAAGUAGUGGUCAAAACUCAAUUACCACUUCCAUCAUAAGGCAUUUUAUAUAUUUAAUAUAUGCAUUUCGAUUUAGUUUGAAGGAAAUGGGUGUUCCCAAUAUGUACUUUACUUUCCUAACCUUUAAUUCAUUUAAAUUGAUGGUAAGAAGUCAAUUACACUAUUUCAUCCCUUUUUUACAAAGAUAGGCAGGGAUGUAAAUGAGUUUUGCAGUUAUGAUAUUGGAUGGUAAUAAUUCCGAAUUUUUGUCUUUUUAUUAAAAAAUAAAAUCUCUUGCUUGAACCUAAAUACUGAUGGAUGCUUAUGUAGAUGUCUGCUCAGUCUGUUUGCCAUAAAGGAAAAAAGUCCUAGUGCUCUCCCAGUUUACACUUCAUGGGUAUUUUGCUUGCAUACAGUCAUCCAAUUCAGAUCUGUUUUGUUAGAAAUUAUUGAACUUUGAAAUGUGUUAUUACAUGAAAAAAAAAAUCCUCAAUAUUUGAAGGCCUUAAGCAUCUUUGAGCUUUUUUCUAAGUUAUUACAGAAUGUAUAAUUUUAUACUCCAUUUAAUGUAUAUUGGACCAUCUGUAAUGUUGAUACAAAAGAAUUUUGGCAAUUCCUUUUAGUGACACUGCAUAAACACACUGAAUAGAGGGAGUUCUGACUGUAUGCUUUGGUGAAUUGAAAUGAAAGCCACACACACCUAAUGGUUGUCAAAAAUACAUAGAAGUAAGCUUGUUUAAGUCUGUGGUUAUCAAACACAGAAAAACCCCCCAAAAAAUAGAAAAAAAAAUAAAAAGAAAAAAAAAAGAAAAAAAAAGGAAUAGAAAGAAAUGGUUUAAUCAUUACAAGCCAUUGACAUGGCUAGUUUAGUUAUAUAUUAAGUUCUGUGAUGGAUGAACACCCUGGUGAGCUCUGCCUGUCGCUGUAGCCCCUGCUGUUCCAAAACCAUUUCAUUACCUCUGCUGUAUUAUUGCACAGGAGAGCUUAAAUAAAAUAAAUGACUGUUGGGAAUAAAACUGAGAAGUAUAUUCUAUCAUUUUGCUCAGAAAUAAUAAGAAAUAUGUUGUCAGAAAAAGAUCUUAUUUUCUGAUUAAAAUUUAAUUAGAAUAAACCGGUUGUAGUAGAAACUAAGUCUCUUGGUAUUUUAGGAUGGAUUAGUAUUAUAUGGAUUUGUGCUUUGAGGUUCAGGAUGGAAGGAACAUCUUAAAGAGGUUGUCUGGGACAGUGCAAAGUGUAAAUGUGCUGUUUUGUAAAAUCUAAAUAUGACCUCUGUUUGGUCGAAAAUCUACAUCAUGCUUCUCAAUACUUGUUUUCUUUGUUUCCUUGUUCUUAAACAGCGCUGAAAAUACUGUAUUAUAUACAAGUGUAACACAUGCAUACCAAUAAAUGAAAAUAAAUGGAUUUUCAAAUAUACUGAAUAGAUUCUCUGCAGUAGAUUAAUGUUGUGACUAUUCAUAGCAAGUGAAUAAAAUUGUAAUAUAAAAUAGA